rnacentral:lncRNA from 1 species
UUGAACCCUAUCAGAGGAACAGAUAAUGAAAGCCAAAACCGGAUCACUACAGUGGAUUAGUCAUAAGCAGUUGUUUACAUUAAGCUUUCCCCUUGACAGUGGCCGUCCAGCAUCUGAUAGACUCCAAAGUACUGCUCUAUAGAACAGCUGCUAUUAAAGAACUGAUGAUGUUUAAAGGCUGAAGCCCAAUCUACUGACGGAAUCCAAGCACUGCUGAAGAAUUAAAGCACUGCCCAUUCAAGGUCUGAUCACCCUUUGAAGAAAGCACUGAUGCUCAAACAACAAUGGUUGACUACAUCAGUGGAAUGAAGAAUCAGUGUUUAUACAUCAGUGAUUAGAAUGUAAUCAGUGCUUGUAUAGUCAGUUGUUAUAGAACAGUAGAUAGAGUUUGUUAGUUUGUUAGAUGUCGCUUUCAUGGUGACGUCAGCUGAGAUGCCUCAGUGGUUUGUUCAAUCCUUUCAUCUUGUGCAAUCAACCUUGGAGCAUCAGGCUGAGGGGAAGUUUAGUUUGUAAGCAUGCAUUGUAAUAAUUUGAUUUGUAUUUUAAUCUUUCGACUCAAUGAAAAGCAUGUGU